rnacentral:rRNA from 1 species
AGAGUUUGAUCAUGGCUCAGAAUCAACGCUGGCGGCGCGCUUAACACAUGCAAGUCGCACGAGAAAGCCCGCAAGGGUGAGUACAGUGGCGUACGGGUGAGUAACACGUGGAUGAUCUACCUUCUAGUGGGGAAUAACCCUGGGAAACCGGGGCUAAUACCGCAUGAGCUCGAGAGAGGAAAGCAGCAAUGCGCUGGAAGAGGAGUCCGCGGCCGAUUAGCUAGUUGGCAGGGUAAAAGCCUACCAAGGCAGAGAUCGGUAGCCGGCCUGAGAGGGCACACGGCCACACUGGCACUGAAACACGGGCCAGACUCCUACGGGAGGCAGCAGUGGGGAAUCUUGCACAAUGGGGGAAACCCUGAUGCAGCGACGCCGCGUGAGCGAUGAAGCCCUUCGGGGUGUAAAGCUCUUUCGGCAGGGAAGAUGAUGACGGUACCUGCAGAAGCAGCUGCGGCUAACUACGUGCCAGCAGCCGCGGUAAUACGUAGGCAGCGAGCGUUGUUCGGAGUUACUGGGCGUAAAGGGUGUGUAGGCGGUUGUUUAAGUUUGGUGUGAAAUCUCCCGGCUCAACUGGGAGGGUGCGCCGAAUACUGAAUGACUUGGAGUGCGGGAGAGGAAAGUGGAAUUCCUGGUGUAGCGGUGAAAUGCGUAGAUAUCAGGAGGAACACCGGUGGUGUAGACGGCUUUCUGGACCGUAACUGACGCUGAGACACGAAAGCGUGGGUAGCAAACAGGAUUAGAUACCCUGGUAGUCCACGCCCUAAACGAUGCAUAUUUGGUGUGGCAGUUCAUUCUGUCCGUGCCGGAGCUAACGCGUUAAAUAUGCCGCCUGGGGAGUACAGUCGCAAGGCUGAACUCAAAGGAAUUGACGGGGCCCGCACAAGCGGUGGAGCAUGUGGUUCAAUUCGACGCAACGCGAAGAACCUUAA